GGUCUUACGCGACAGAGAACUGCGAACCGUGUCAGGUCGGGAACGAAGCAGCACUAAACAGCCUCUCUGGGUGCCGUAAGGGUGCCG
rnacentral:SRP_RNA from 1 species